CAAAAACUCCAAUGUUGUCUUGUAAAUUCUUGUGGAAAAUCAUAUACCAACUUUGGUAAUUGUCAUAUUAUUAUUAUUGUGAAACCAUUCAAAUAUUGUUUAAGUCUUGUGAGGUAUUAUUGUGGUGAAAUAAACUUCAAGAAAUCUUGAAGAAAGGAUCAAGGAGUUCACAAGGACAUUUGGACAAUCAUCAAAGGAGGUUCAACAAUUU
rnacentral:lncRNA from 1 species